AUCUAUGGCCCGCGGGCACCCACGACCGGCCAGGGCACAGGCACCCAGCGCCCAUUCACGUGCCCGGGACCCCUCUGUCCUGCCUUCCACGCGCCGCCCAAAUCUCUGAGGAUAUCCCACAUCAUAGCCCAGGCCGCCCUGAAGGCACUGCCGCCCCGGGCACCCAACUCUCCCCCUCACGGUGCUGUGCGCACACUGGCCCAGGACCUCUGGCCCUCCCGCACUUCUCUCGACCCCAGUCCGCGGCCGACUCGGCACCGCCCAGGGCCACCUGGCGCCCCACCGCCUCCACCUCUCUGGGAAAUGCCGCAGGGGCUCCAGGCUUCCCGAUGCCCCCCAGGGACUCUGCGAGGGACAGGCACUGGCAGCC
rnacentral:lncRNA from 9 species